rnacentral:rRNA from 49 species
AAACGACUCUCGGCAACGGAUAUCCCGGCUCUCGCAUCGAUGAAGAACGUAGCGAAAUGCGAUACUUGGUGUGAAUUGCAGAAUCCCGUGAACCAUUGAGUCUUUGAACGCAAGUUGCGCCCGAAGCCACUAGGCUGAGGGCACGUCUGCCUGGGUGUCACGC